rnacentral:rRNA from 1 species
UACAGAGGGUGCGAGCGUUGUUCGGAAUUACUGGGCGUAAAGGGCUCGUAGGCGGUCUGUCGCGUCGGGAGUGAAAACUCAGGGCUUAACCCUGAGCCUGCUUCCGAUACGGGCAGACUAGAGGUAUGCAGGGGAGAACGGAAUUCCUGGUGUAGCGGUGGAAUGCGCAGAUAUCAGGAGGAACACCGGUGGCGAAGGCGGUUCUCUGGGCAUUACCUGACGCUGAGGAGCGAAAGUGUGGGGAGCGAACAGG